GAUAUGAAUUUAUGGUGGGACCUCCUAGAGUUAUCACCAAAAAGGUGAAUGACCAUUUGGUGGAACCGUAUGAGAUUGCCACCGUGGAGGUACCAGAAGAACACAUGGGAGCAGUAGUAGAACUGUUGGGCAAGAGGCGUGGGCAGAUGUUUGAUAUGCAGGGAGUUGGGUCAGAAGGGACAACUUUUUUGAGAUAUAAGAUUCCAACUCGGGGUCUUCUUGGAUUGAGAAAUGCAAUUUUAACAGCUUCACGUGGUACAGCAAUUCUCAACACAAUAUUUGAUUGCUACGGACCCUGGGCUGGUGACAUUCACACUCGUGAUCAGGGUUCACUGGUUGCUUUUGAGGAAGGCACAACAACUUCUUAUGCCCUUGCUAGUUCUCAGGAGAGAGGGCAGAUGUUUGUCAGUCCUGGCGUAGAUGUUUACAAAGGUCAAAUUGUUGGAAUUCAUCAACGCCCUGGAGACUUAUCUCUUAACGUGUGCAAGAAAAAAGCUGCGACAAAUGUACGCUCCAAUAAAGAACAAACAGUGGUUCUUGAUACUCCAUUGGAUUAUAGUUUAGAUGACUGCAUCGAAUACAUCCAAGAAGAUGAAUUGGUUGAAGUCACUCCCUCGAGUAUCCGAAUGUGCAAAAAUGCAAAAAUGACGAAGAAAACAAGGUAGAUGCCCGUUACUUAGAAACUUCACCGUGCAAAUAAUACGGU
rnacentral:misc_RNA from 1 species